rnacentral:misc_RNA from 1 species
UACAAAGCGAACGACCAUUAGCUAAUUCCAAUUUGAAAAUUUAGCUAAAGUCAAAGUCAUUUUGAACAAAUGUUUCCUGUACGCGUUACCGUUUGGCAUGGACGAACGUCUCGGACGUUGAUGUCCGUACAUUUAUAUAUAUAUAUGUAGUAUCGUGGACAAAAGGCCUAAGAUAUCUGCCGAAUCGUAAACAAUGUCGCGAGAGCCGCGGCAUCGUCGGGUACAUCAAUGUGGUGUAACGUAAAUCACGUCAGAGACCAGGACACUGUAACCCCAAACUCUUUUGCCCUGAUGUCACCUUAGGCGACCACUUCUAAACAUUCUCCAGACAGCCGAUACUUGAACAUUACACAUGGCGACCUUUGCGACAAUGUAUAUUGCCGGAGUGCCUGAGGGUUCAUCUGUGUCCUAACGGUCCUUCCACCGAAUGUUCUGGAAGCGUGGCAGCGGUCGCGUGCGCC